rnacentral:rRNA from 1 species
GAUGAACGCUGGCGGCGUGCCUAAUACAUGCAAGUCGAGCGAACAGACGAGGAGCUUGCUCCUUUGACGUUAGCGGCGGACGGGUGAGUAACACGUAGGUAACCUACCUAUAAGACUGGGAUAACUUCGGGAAACCGGAGCUAAUACCGGAUAAUAUUUCGAACCGCAUGGUUCGAUAGUGAAAGAUGGCUUUGCUAUCACUUAUAGAUGGACCUGCGCCGUAUUAGCUAGUUGGUAAGGUAACGGCUUACCAAGGCAACGAUACGUAGCCGACCUGAGAGGGUGAUCGGCCACACUGGAACUGAGACACGGUCCAGACUCCUACGGGAGGCAGCGGUAGGGAAUCUUCCGCAAUGGGCGAAAGCCUGACGGAGCAACGCCGCGUGAGUGAUGAAGGUCUUCGGAUCGUAAAACUCUGUUAUUAGGGAAGAACAAACGUGUAAGUAACGGUGCACGCCUUGACGGUACCUAAUCAGAAAGCCACGGCUAACUACGU